rnacentral:rRNA from 1 species
GACGAACGCUGGCGGCGUGCUUAACACAUGCAAGUCGAACGGAAAGGCCUCUUUCGGGGGGUACUCGAGUGGCGAACGGGUGAGUAACACGUGAGUAACCUGCCCUUGACUUUGGGAUAACUUCAGGAAACUGGGGCUAAUACCGGAUAGGAGCUCCUGCUGCAUGGGGGGGGCUGGAGAGUUUCGGCGGUUGGGGGUGGGCUCGCGGCUUAUCAGCUUGUUGGUGGGGUAGUGGCUUACCAAGGCGUUGGCGGGUAGCGGGCCUGAGGGGGUGACCGGCCACAGUGGCACUGAGAUGCGGCCCAGGCUCCGACGGGUGGCAGCAGGGGGGAAGAGUGCUCAAUGGGUGGAAGCCUGAUGCAGCAACGCCGUGGGCGGGAUGACGGCCUUCGGGUUGGAAACCGCUUUCGCUCAUGACGAAGCUUUGUGUGACGGUAGUGGGUAAAGAAGCACCGGCUAACUACGUG